GAGGAAACCGCGCUUUGUUGGUGAGGUGAACCGGGUGCGCGACCAUGAGGAAGGAUGGCGAGGGAGGAAACCGCGCUUUGUUGGUGACGUGUUCACGGAUAAUGAAGCUGAUGUGAGAGCCCUGGAGAGAAACAUCAGUCAAAGGCAUGCAGGUUGUGAAUACAAACCUCACUUGUUUCCAGACAGAUUCUUCAUCAUAAUGAUUAGGACAAUGACAGUACAAACAUUCUCAUCCUACAAAAAUAAGUAAUCACAACCACACCUUAUCCAAUAUCUGUACAGCAAUUGUGCCAUACACAUUAAAUUCAGAUUUUUAUAAUGUAAUUUAAUCUGUAUUUCAAGCCACAAUCUUGCUGAAGUUCAUAAUGUUUUGUUCCAACCAUUCUUGUAAUCCCCUCUGGUGACAUGCCAUGGUGCCAGCAUCUUAGUUGUUCCCAUGGCACUAGUAGGUGGAGGCAUCGAGACUGCUGUGUCCUCUCUUCUUGCAGGGAAUCCCAUCCAGCGUCCCUCUACUCUCCUCUGCAGCUUCCAUGGUUGGAAUGCUGAGCCAUUGCUAGGACGAUGAGGCUACAGGAAAGUGAAAUGCACCUGCUGCGAUCUGAUCCAACUGACCACUCCUGCUGCUCCUCCCUUGCACCUCAGGCAUCUCCUUCCAAUCUGGAGGAAACACUUUUACCUCCACUUUUC
rnacentral:lncRNA from 1 species